UUUGCAUAACCCUUGUGUUAUGAGGGUCCCGGUGACCCGGAGGACAACACAAGGGUUAUGUACUUCCGUUUACUUUGUUGAGAAUUGCUCUCUAAACCCUGUCUCUUGUAAAGUAAAUAACUACAAAAAGAAGUUGU